GACGAACGCUGGCGGCGUGCUUAACACAUGCAAGUCGAACGGAAAGGCCCUGCUUUUGUGGGGUGCUCGAGUGGCGAACGGGUGAGUAACACGUGAGUAACCUGCCCUUGACUUUGGGAUAACUUCAGGAAACUGGGGCUAAUACCGGAUAGGAGCUCCUGCUGCAUGGUGGGGGUUGGAAAGUUUCGGCGGUUGGGGAUGGACUCGCGGCUUAUCAGCUUGUUGGUGGGGUAGUGGCUUACCAAGGCUUUGACGGGUAGCCGGCCUGAGAGGGUGACCGGCUAGGUGGGGAGGGGGAGGCGCCAGAGGAGCGGAGGGGAGGGGGGGGGGGAGGCGAGUGCAGCGGGGGGGGAAGGCUGAGGCGGAGACGCGGGGUGCGGGAGGGCGACGGGGGGGGUGUAGGCCGCUGUCGCGGGUGGGGGGGCGGGGGGGGCGGUAAUGGGGAAAGAAGCGCCGGCUAACUACGGGCAAGCAGGCGGGGUAAUAAGAGGAAGAGAACACGUAUGAAC
rnacentral:rRNA from 1 species